GUCCCACCGACCUGAGUUUAAAAGCUUGCAGGCUUCCCAGGUGGGCAGCUUCUGUGCAAAGGGCGGGGUGGACAAAAGUCGUUUUUCGAGAGAUAAGAACUACCUUGCAGACUGACCAGGUCAAGGUCCAUCCAGUGUAACACCGUCUCCAAAGGCCCAGACCCAAGAAAGACUGGGUGAAAUACCAUAACUUCUGCCCUUUGCCCCCAGCAUCUAGUAAGAAAGAAGUUGGAAGCUUUCAGUUUGGGAUGGAUCUCUCCCUCUGAUGCUCUUUAAAAAGCAUCUAAAUCAAAGGCCAUCACUAGUCUUGAAACGAUUCAUUUUGCGGGAUGAAUUCAAGCACCGUACCAGAAAGUUUGUGCAAUUAAAGCGGACACUUCCAGAUGCUUGCUGUUUUGGGACAGGAUUCAAUCACAUACUGGCAAAUUCAGGUUGCACAGUUAACACUGAUUUUGAGAUCUUGCACAAUAAACCCCCUUCCCCCCAAGUUCAGACUUUAUGAAAUAAGGGAAGUGCCCAGAAAAUGUAAUGGGAAGUGUGGGAUAAAAAUUGCUUGGUAUAGCAUUUAUGCAAACAAAUCAAUAAAUAGUCAAAUGUCAUUUAUCCUCCAUGCAUGUUGAAUGAAUGUUCAAUAAACAGGGCAUCUGAAAGUGAACACUAGCAUAACAAAACUGCUUUUUUCUUUAAAGGAACUUUAAAGAAAGUGCAGUUAGGAAAGUGACAGGAAAAUGCACUGAAAAGCGUAGGAUGAAUGAAUGAUUAACAGGAAGACAUGUACAUAUGUUGCUGGACUACAGCUCUCAGCAACCCUGACCACUGGCCACACUGGCUGAGGCUGAUUAAUUCGGAAUCUAACAACAUUUGGAGCACCAGAGCAUCUUGACGCCCUGUCAGUAUUCCCACAUGGAAUAAACUGCUACAAGCCUACUGAAGAACACCCUGCAUGGGAAACUCUCAUAGCUCAAGAAAAGCAUAUGUGCCCACCCUCUGUACUUUCCAGAAACAACUGAAGACAAGCUUCAGUUAAGUGAAGCUGGGUGAAAAUGUCCCUGCCUUAGUUGUUCAUUUCGUAUCAUUUUAAAACCUAUUUUCAGUUUGGCUUUUGUACUGUAUAAACAGCUCUCUUAGCUGUUUUGAUUACACUGCUGUAAAUCGCCUUGAGACAUACAGUAUAUGUAAAAGGCAGUUUUCAGUUUCUUCAUCAUCUACAGAUGAUAGGAAAGAAAACUUAUGAAAGACAAUCAUCACCACUAUGGCAUCCAGGCUAGGGAAGGGUCUGUAGCUCUGUGUCAAUACAGAAAGUACCAAGUUCAGUCCCAGGAAACACCCCUGGGCCCCCUCCGAAACCCUGGAGAGAUACUGCCCAUAGCAAUACUGAGCUAAAGCCUUUGCAUGUGAUUUACACGUAAGCAAAGUGAUGUGUAAGAUCCACAGCAGCAAAGCUUGCACAGUUGCCUUGUAUAGCAACGGAAGGGAGGAAAACAAUAUAUAGUUUUUACCUUUACCUGUCCUAAAUCCAAACAGCGCUGUCAAUGUGCAAGAACCAACUAAUUGCUUCCAUAACAAGUUAUUGAUCAAACUGUUUACUUGCUGAGAGUGAUGCAGUAACACGUAGACAAAACAGGGAGGGGAAAGAUGACUCCAAAGGCUAUGUACAGCAAAAGAUUCCUUCCUUUUCACACCCCACACAUCUAGUGAUUCUGUCUCAUUGUUCUAAAACUGCAUGGUUAUUUUUUAACUGUGUAUGUAAGUUGCCUAGAGAUGUAACAAAUGAUUGAUAAUAAAAUUAUUACUACUGAUAACAACGAUAAAUGGCAAAGGCUGCUCUUUUCUGAAAGACUUCAUAUAUUUUGCGUAAUGGAGAUGAAAGUGCACAUAAGUUUGCAUUUUAAAAGUGAUUUCUUAAUUAUUUCAUUAUUUCUAAAAGUAGCA